rnacentral:SRP_RNA from 1 species
GCCGGGCGUGGUGGCUCACGCCUGUAAUCCCAGCACUCUGGGAGGCCGAGGUGGGUGGAUCACCUGAGGUCAGGAGUUCAAGACAAGCCUGGCCAACAUGGUGAAACCUCGCCUCUA